rnacentral:rRNA from 1 species
GGAUAACUUACCCUUUAGGACUGGGAUAACUCUGGGAAACUGGGGAUAAUACUGGAUAUUAGGCUAUGCCUGGAAUGGUUUGUCUUUGAAAUGUUUUUUUUCGCCUAAGGAUAGGUCUGCGGCUGAUUAGGUCGUUGGUGGGGUAAUGGCCCACCAAGCCGAUGAUCGGUACGGGUUGUGAGAGCAAGGGCCCGGAGAUGGAACCUGAGACAAGGUUCCAGACCCUACGGGGUGCAGCAGGCGCGAAACCUCCGCAAUGUACGAAAGUGCGACGGGGGGAUCCCAAGUGUUAUGCUUUUUUGUAUGACUUUUCAUUAGUGUAAAAAGCUUUUAGAAUAAGAGCUGGGCAAGACCGGUGCCAGCCGCCGCGGCAACACCGGCAGCUCGAGUGGUAGCUGUUUUUAUUGGGCCUAAAGCGUUCGUAGCCGGUUUGAUAAGUCUUUGGUGAAAGCUUGUAGCUUAACUAUAAGAAUUGCUGGAGAUACUAUUAGACUUGAAGUCGGGAGAGGUUAGAGGUACUACCGGGGUAGGGGUGAAAUCCUAUAAUCCUGGGAGGACCACCUGUGGCGAAGGCGUCUAACUGGAACGAUCUUGACGGUGAGUAACGAAAGCCAGGGGCGCGAACCGGAUUAGAUACCCGGGUAGUCCUGGCCGUAAACGAUGUGGACUUGGUGUUGGAAUGGCUUUGAGUUGUUCCGGUGCCGAAGGGAAGCUGUUAAGUCCACCGCCUGGGAAGUACGGUCGCAAGACUGAAACUUAA